rnacentral:rRNA from 1 species
AUUUAAAUGAGAGUUUGAUCCUGGCUCAGGACGAACGCUGGCGGCGUGCCUAAUACAUGCAAGUCGAGCGA